GUCCUCUUCCAUAAAUAUCUGGCUGCAUCCUGAGUAGUCCUACUGACUUCAAUAAAAGUAUUGGAUGGCUUGUUCUUGUUUCCUGUUGAGACAUUGUCACCUCUGAAACCGUACCCACGGACUGCACAGUGGUGUUCACCCCAAGGAUUCAAAGGCAUCGCAGGAAUUUUUGUGAUACAGAGAGUGCCAGUAUUCCCAAGUCCAAUCAAUCUGUUGGCUAUGGUACCAAAGUCAAAGCUGCUACUGUUUCUUCACCCUAAGAAGAAGAAAGUCUCAAACAGAACUAAAAUGAUUUCACCCACACUAUAUGAUUCCUGUCUCAUCAAUCCCACCUAAGUGGACUUACAUUUAUGCUGAAGUUCUCCUGGCUUGAAUCCAUGGG